GUUUAAUCACCUUAAAAUAAGAAUCAUUGUGUUUGUUAGCUUAGAGUGAGACGUCUUCAUCUACAGAGGGAGCGGGUCCUCUUCUACAGAUGUUUCUACAGUAGCCUUUAAUACAGAGUCAGAGGUCCUUUAAUAUAGAGUCAGAGGUCCUUUAAUACAGAGUCAGAGGUCCUUUAAUACAGAGUCAGAGGUCCUUUAGAGUCAGAGGUCCUUUAAUACAGAGUCAGAGGUCCUUUAGAGUCAGAGGUCCUUUAAUAUAGAGUCAGAGGUCCUUUAAUACAGAGUCAGAGGUCCUUUAGAGUCAGAGGUCCUUUAAUACAGAGUCAGAGGUCCUUUAAUAUAGAGUCAGAGGUCCUUUAAUACAGAGUCAGAG